rnacentral:misc_RNA from 1 species
AGCUCUAACAUAUUCACAAGUACUACACUAGCCAACUCCAGAGAAUAAGCAAAGGAGAAAAUUUCUGAGAAGCCAUGGCAGAGGAGGAUAUAUACGCAAAAGAUGGAACUGUAGACUACCGUGGGAAUCCUGCUAACAGAAAGGAAACUGGAACCUGGAGAGCCUGCCCCUUCAUUAUAGGAAAUGAAUGUUGUGAAAGAUUGGCUUAUUAUGGGAUGAGCUCCAAUUUGGUUCUUUAUUUCAAGAACAUAUUAAAUCAGCAGAGUGCUACUGCUGCUAAAAAUAACUCUGAUUGGAGCGGAACAUGCUAUACUACACCGUUGAUCGGAGCAUUUCUGGCUGAUGCUUAUCUAGGAAGAUACUGGACGAUUGCAAUUUUCUCCAUCAUUUAUGUGAUUGGAAUGACGCUUUUAGCAAUGUCAGCAUCUGUCCCUGGUCUAAAGCCGAAAUGUUACGCAAAAAACGACUGUGAUCCAACUGAUGCACAAAGUGCCGCGUGCUUUGUAGCACUUUACCUGAUAGCUCUGGGCACAGGAGGUAUUAAGCCUUGUGUCUCAUCCUAUGGAGCAGAUCAGUUUGAUGAUACAGAUGAGGUAGAGAAGAAGCACAAAGGCUCUUUCUUCAACUGGUUCUACUUCUCAAUUAAUGUUGGAGCUCUUAUAGCUUCCUCCGUGCUGGUUUAUGUACAAGACAAUUGGAGUUGGGGAUGGGGUUUUGGCAUUCCU